GCCUCUUCACUGUGGCAUCCAUCAGGUCACCGUUACCCGUCCCGUUGACUUUAUGUUGACUGGAUGUCCUUCUCCUUGUCCAUGUGAUGGCCUAUAAAAGCUACAAGCUCCAUGAUAUAAGAAGAUGCUAUUGUUUUCCACCGUCACGCUUGUCCCACCCCCUGAGAAGAUCUAGUCGGCCACAGCAGCACCCUUAGCAACGCACACUGUGACACAAACCUACAACCUCAUUGGCCACGCCCACCUUCUGUGGCCCCAUUGUUUGCUUCAACUGACGUUGGCUCAGGAAGGAACUUCAAUCACAAGUGAGUUAACAUCUUGAAUGCAGAAGAGGGAGAGAGAAAUUCAUUCAGUAUGUUGCUGUCAGCUUGGACGCUGCUUGUCAUCACUGUGGCAGGCACCAGCGGUGAUGAUCUGGUGGCGGUCACGAGUGAAGUGUUUGCAACAAAAGGCAGCCAAGUCACACUGUCAUACAUCUACACCAGACAGUCAUCUAGUGAUUAUUUAUUCUGGUACAAACAACUUCCUGGACAAGCGCCACACUUCCUGCUUUCCCUCUUGGGAAACGGCAGGACAUUAAGUGCCAUGCCGGGAAUGUCGGUGAGCGUGGAAAGCGACAAAGAGCGAGUUCAUCUGCACAUCGAAGAUGCGUCACUUGAACACUCUGCAGUGUACUACUGUGCCGUGAGGCCCACAGUGACACAUGGGCCACAUUCUCGUUACAAGAACAUUUCCUGCUCCUGAACCCAUCACACUUCCCUCUAGUCAAGGCACAACUUACUUCAAAAGACAAAACCCCAACUCCAAUAACGAAUGCGUUUUCACUUAUGAAGUACUUGUUUGGAAGUGGAGCGGACACUAAUGAAUGAAUUGUUGCUUGACUCACUCCACCAUAGAAUUCUAAUUGACA